GAUGAACGCUAGCGGCAGGCUUAAUACAUGCAAGUCGAGGGGUAGCAAGAUUGUAGCAAUACAAUUGUUGACGACCGGCAAACGGGUGCGGAACACGUACACAACCUUCCUACAAGUGGGGAACAGCCCAGAGAAAUUUGGAUUAAUACCCCGUAACAUAGCGAUGUGGCAUCACAUUGCUAUUAUAGCUUCGGCGCUUGUUGAUGGGUGUGCGGCUGAUUAGAUAGUUGGCGGGGUAACGGCCCACCAAGUCUACGAUCAGUAGCUGAUGUGAGAGCAUGAUCAGCCGCACGGGCACUGAGACACGGGCCCGACUCCUACGGGAGGCAGCAGUAAGGAAUAUUGGACAAUGGACGCAAGUCUGAUCCAGCCAUGCCGCGUGAAGGAUUAAGGUCCUCUGGAUUGUAAACUUCUUUUAUAAGGGACGAAAAAAGGUCUUUCUAGAUCGUCUGACGGUACCUUAUGAAUAAGCACCGGCUAACUCCGUGCCAGCAGCCGCAGUAAAAC
rnacentral:rRNA from 1 species